ensembl:lncRNA novel transcript, antisense to CACNA1C
GUUACAGCUCCCAUUUCCCGACGGCCUGAGCAGGGACCUGGCACCUAAGUUAUCUUUAACUUCCCAAACAAGUCUGAAAUAAGGACACUUAGGCUCAGAAUGAGGCCCAAGGUCACACCGAUCGUGAACAUGACAGGUGCAAAUUUGAACCCAGUAGUGUCUGAUUCCAAAGCUGAAUAUACGGAUAUGUUAGGAUGCCCACCUACUAUGUCACCUCACUUACUCCACCCUUGAGAUGGAACCAUCUCUGUCAAGAAAUAAGGAUUAAACCAAAUCAAGUACAAAUGAAAACCCAGACUGCAAGCCAUCAUAGAAAGUAAGAUUCAAUGUGUGUAUGUAUUUGCAUGAUUAAGCACAUGCAGAGAAAGAAUACAUCUAGAUAUCAAGUGGUAAUUUUGAAAUUUUCUCCUUUAUACAUUUCUGUUUUUCUCAAAUAUUAAAAUAGAUGAUUCUUAUUAA